GGGCUCACUUUAGGAGCACAUAUACUAAGACUAGAACCAUAUAAAGAUUAGCAUGGCCCCUGUGCAAGGAUGACACAAAAAUUUGUUGAAUGUAGGCCGAGCAU
ensembl:snRNA U6 U6 spliceosomal RNA